rnacentral:rRNA from 1 species
UGGGGAAUUUUGGACAAUGGGCGCAAGCCUGAUCCAGCCAUGCCGCGUGCGGGAAGAAGGCCUUCGGGUUGUAAACCGCUUUUGUCAGGGAAGAAAUCUUCUGAGUUAAUACCUCGGGAGGAUGACGGUACCUGAAGAAUAAGCACCGGCUAACUACGUGCCAGCAGCCGCGGUAAUACGUAGGGUGCAAGCGUUAAUCGGAAUUACUGGGCGUAAAGCGUGCGCAGGCGGUUUUGUAAGACAGAGGUGAAAUCCCCGGGCUCAACCUGGGAACUGCCUUUGUGACUGCAAGGCUUGAGUGCGGCAGAGGGGGGAUGGAAUUCCGCGUGUAGCAGUGAAAUGCGUAGAUAUGCGGAGGAACACCGAUGGCGAAGGCAAUCCCCUGGGCCUGCACUGACGCUCAUGCACGAAAGCGUGGGGAGCAAACAGGAUUAGAUACCCUGGUAGUCCACGCCCUAAACGAUGUCAACUGGUUGUUGGGAAGGUUCCUUCUCAGUAACGUAGCCAACGCGUGAAGUUGACCGCCUGGGGAGUACGGCCGCAAGGUUGAAACUCAAAUGAAUUGACGGGGUCAUAGC